rnacentral:rRNA from 1 species
CAGCCGCCACGGGAAUACGAGGGGGGCAAGCGUUGUUCGGAAUUAUUGGGCGUAAAGGGCGCGUAGGCGGUUUGACAAGUUUCAUGUGAAAUCUAUGGGCUCAACCCAUAGUCUGCAUAGAAAACUGUCGGGCUUGAGUAUGGGAGAGGUGAGUGGAAUUUCCGGUGUAGCGGUGAAAUGCGUAGAUAUCGGAAGGAACACCUGAGGCGAAAGCGGCUCACUGGACCAUAACUGACGCUGAGGCGCGAAAGCUAGGGGAGCGAACAGGAUUAGAUACCCGGGUAGUCCCUGUCUCUUAUAC